rnacentral:rRNA from 1 species
GUCCAGACUCCUACGGGAGGCAGCAGUGGGGAAUAUUGCACAAUGGGGGAAACCCUGAUGCAGCGACGCCGCGUGAGCGAUGAAGUAUUUCGGUAUGUAAAGCUCUAUCAGCAGGGAAGAAAAUGACGGUACCUGACUAAGAAGCCCCGGCUAACUACGUGCCAGCAGCCGCGGUAAUACGUAGGGGGCAAGCGUUAUCCGGAUUUACUGGGUGUAAAGGGAGCGUAGACGGCGGUGCAAGCCAGAUGUGAAAGCCCGGGGCUCAACCCCGGGACUGCAUUUGGAACUGUGUGGCUGGAGUGUCGGAGAGGCAGGCGGAAUUCCUAGUGUAGCGGUGAAAUGCGUAGAUAUUAGGAGGAACACCAGUGGCGAAGGCGGCCUGCUGGACGAUGACUGACGUUGAGGCUCGAAAGCGUGGGGAGCAAACAGGAUUAGAUACCCCUGUACC